UGAAAAAAAGCUGACGUUCGUGAAUAUAUAUCGUUGUUUAGCGUACAUGCAGAGAGAAGAAAUAUUGGUGUUUUCUGCGAAAUAUUGAUAGAGAUCCAGGUGGACACAUUUCCUCACUCCAGCCACCAAUCGCAGGUUGUUUUGGUUUCAAUUCUAAAGAUGAAGAGUGAUACUGUAGCCCAUCACCUUGUCAAAAGAUGGUCAGCCUACAUCCCUUCCUUCACAGACAUUUUUGAUGAAGAGAUGUUCUACAUCUGUUUCUUUCUGUUAACAGUGGUGAGCAUUAUAGGUGCAAUAUUUUUGUCACGACGCGUUGAAAUCAAAGAUGCUGGUCAUGUGGACUGAUGCUGAAUGUGCUUUUAAAGCAGGAAACGAUGAUUCUUAAAGACAUGAAUGUGCGUAGGAAUGUAAAAAACUCACUCAACAGGACUCACACCAAAGGAGAAAAGGGUUAAAUUCAAAACAAACAAAAUGUCUAAGUUUGAUACAGAUUUUGGUCCAUCACUUUACAAAUUUAAUUAUCUGGAUAUUUUGAAAAAUCUGCACCUGCUUGACUAAAUGUAUCCAUCUGAAUGUGUUGACGUCAACUGGACAGCAAUCCUUAACGAGGGUUCAUGAUGUGACCUUGCUUGUCAUACUUCAAAACAAAUUUAUUUAGUAAUUGCAAGUGUUUGAGAUAUAUGUAUCCUUAUGGAAAUGAGGCACCAGUACCUCCUGAGAUCCUUCUGUGAUUAUUAUAAAGCAAUUGCCACAGUGAUUUUCUUAAGGAAUUUCAACUCCCUAAAUACAGUUAAUAAAAGUAAGCAUUUGAAAUAUAUUUCUGAUAAUAUACUCCUAAAUCACUUUUAUAGUAUUUUAAAAGAUAGGGAAACUUCAUAAUAAUAAAGUUAACAUCAUACUGUUUUUAUAUAAUUGUAAAUGACAUAUUAAGCUGAUACCUAGUCUUACAAUUCUCUAGUAAUGUAUGUCUUUUAUCUUUGUUUAUUCCUGUAUUACCUAAUCAGUAAGUGUUCUCUUCAUGAUUCCAGUAGGUUAAAAAUAAUGUUUAACUUCAGCAAACAUAUUUAACAUCUGUUUUACUGUCGUAGAUUUUAUGUAUACUGAAUCAGAUUUUUAUCUAGGCCAACUAGUAUAUUUAAAAUGUCAGUUGAAAUCAUUUUCAUACAGUAUAUUGAGAAUAACAUGUAGAGUACAUAAUUGUUAUACCUAAUGCCUACAGUUAAUAUGGCUAUUUAAAAGACAACUUACUACAUACAUAUGAUCAGUGACUGUACUGUAUUGUAUAAAGAUUUUAAUGUUUGUUCCAUUGCAUGAUUUUUGUUAAUGAAGUUCAAUACAUUAUAGCUAGUAAUGGUACACAAUUUUUUCUCUACACCCAUGUCAUUCCUAUUUAUCUACAUGUACAUAUGUUUCUGGUUUUAUAUAUUAGAAACAUAAUUCUUUUUGAUGUGUGUUUGUGGAUUUAUUUAUAAAGAAGUGUAUUUCUUUUUGCUGAUGAUUGUAUGGAAAGUGAUAAUUUUUCAACAGUUUCAGCCUUUGUUUUCAUGAAACUGUACAUUUUUCUGUACUAUAGUUCUGUGAUGAACGCUCCUGUUCAUUGUUACAGGGACAAAGACAAAAGUAGAGGUCACAGCUAGGGUGGACAAGUCUGACAAAUACUAACUCCAAGGUAUUUCCCAUUUGUUUAAGAUCAAAGAUUUAUGCACACUAUUCACAUUGAAUGGAUUUGUUGAUGUUUCACUAAAUUUCUUUAAGUUUAAUUAGCCUAAAAUAAAAAUGAAAAUACUAUUUAACAAGUACAGAGAUAAAAAUGCAAGCCUCCAGAUUUUUUUCACUUCAUAAAACAUCAGAUUAUCAGAAAUAUGAUUACACAGAUAAAACAAAACCAAAAUUUUACCCUAAAUGGGAGAUAACCGCUAUUUAGUAAUCCUCCUUAUAGCCAUUCGUUUUUCAAUUGAUCCAUGCAAAAGUUUAUACAAGAAGUUCUAGCUUUGUUGUAAAAACUGAAAUGAUACUUUACAGAUAAAUAGGAUAGCUGACAUAUUUUUGAACCAGAACAUGCUGAAAAAUGAGCUUAGUUUGAAAACAGAGUCUGAAAAUAACAUGAAAAGUUUGCCAAUGUCCAGGUUAUCAUUUUGUUAAUACAUGGGUUUAAUAACACACAUGACUAACAAAAUUAUAACUAAUGUUUGGCAUGUUUGAAUAUGUGUGGAUUGGAAUCUCACCAGAUUAGACCUGAAUUAUUUCAUCUUUAUCUUGAAAGAUGCAUAAUGUGCAAUAAAAUAUGUUUUCGUAACUUUGAA